rnacentral:lncRNA from 1 species
AUUUCAGGAAGAUAGGGAGGCCAGAGGCCAGGGAGGUAGCAGGUCAGUGGGGAAGCGGGUCAUGGGAGCCUUUCUGGGGACUCUCUUCCCAAGAGUCAGUCAGGCCUGGGUGACAGGCUCGAGGAAGCCCUGAAUCUCAAAUGGCCUUUCCAGCAGCAGCUCUGCUCAGGUCUCGUCAUCUACCAGCAGAGCCCUUGCUCUGGGCACCUGGUUUCUCAGCCCUGGGCCACCAGGGAAGCCGUUUCCAGACAGGAGGGGGCGGGCCAAGCCACUGACUUCCGAGGAUAUAGCUCUUGGCUGUGGGACUGGGCUCUCCCAGAAUUGUUCCUUUGUCUGCAGAUUCCUCCCUAUUUAGCUCACAAAGGAAAUGGUUCCAGGAGGAAGUGGAAAACUGUGACACACACAUGCUCGCCCCCCACACAAGAUGGCAGCUGUUUCCCCCUACGGCAAUCUGCCCCACUGCCUUCACCAGACGCUUGGGGGGGACAGACACGGUCCCGGGAGUGGCCUGGGAGUGGCCUGGGAUACCCGAAGAUAAAAGCAGGUAGUAUUGUUAAGCUCUUAACUGAUAUUCCAGAUGUUGUGCUAAGCAUUUUGCAUAGAUCACCUCACUUAAUCCUCAUGCGACUCUGUGAGGUAGGUACGUUUUUUACCCUCUGUUUUACCCGCGAGCCAAGUGAGGCUCAGAGAAGCCCGGUCAUUUGCCUAAAGGCACACAGCGAGCAGAACCAGGAUUCAAACCUAGACCUAACUCUAGGACCUAAGCUUCCAAUUGCUGCACUGUAAUACGUUCUGGCCUUCUAACAGGGGUGCUCUACCAUUGCUGGAACCUGCAGUGAGCACCUCAUGACCUGUCCCUACUGGUGUCCAUUCACAGGACGGGUGCCAGGCCUGAGGCCUGCAUCGGGCAGGGCUUUCUGUUUCGGAGAAGUUGGAGUUUGAGCACCCGUCUCACCAAUAGCCCGCGGCGGACACUGAGGACCCCAGGGUCGGGGUUUGCAGAUAAGACAGAUAAUAAUAGGGAUAUCCAAGAAUGACCAUGAGCGUUUAUUGAAAUACAUCCCAUGAGCGGGGCCGUGCCUAACACUUCUACUUCUUUUUAUAAAUAGAACUUCAGGUGGAUAAAAAUGGAGUUAGUCCUAAUCCUUGCUUCAGGAGACACUGUCGUCAUUGGUUCACACGUGCCGCACUUUUAUUUGGUUAUUGACUUAUGUCAUCGGUUACUUUCGCUUAUGUAGGAAACACCCACAAAUCUACCACUCAGGGCAAACGCCGGGGUCCCGACUGUAUCUUUAUAUCUAACUACCGUCUCCUGCUUCUGCCUCCCCUACCCAGGCUGACUGCCAUCCUGAAUGCUGUAAUUGUCACAUUCUCCCUUUCCCUUCUGUAUAGUGCUAUUGCAACCAGGUAUAUCCACACAUUAAAAAAAAAAAAAAUCUGUGGUUGUUUUUAACCUCAUUAAAAGGGUAUAACAUUUGGGGCGCCUGGGUGGCUCAGUCGGUGGAGCGUCCGACUUCGGCUCAGGUCAUGGUCUUGCGGUUCGUGAGUUCGGGCCCCGCGUCGGGCUCUGCGCUAACAAACAGCUCGGAGCCUGGAGUUUCCUUCGGAUUCUGUGUGUGUGUCUCUCUCUCCCCCUCCCCUGCUCACGCUCUGCCUCUCUCUGUCUCUCAAAAAUGGAUAAAUGUUAAAAAAAAUUUUUUUUUAAAAAGGGUGUAACAUUAUAGGGAAUCCUUUGUGACUUUUUCUUUACUAUCAUACUGUCGAGAUUGACCCGUAUUGUUGUCUGUCGUUGCGUUCAUUCAUUGUGUUGUGUGAUACUCGGUUAUGGGAAUGUUCUCUAUGGCCACCACUCUGUGCCUAUUACCUCAUCUAAUCUUUGCCUCAGCCCUAUAUGCUAGGAGCUCUUCUUAUCCCCGUUUUACCGAGAAGAAACUGAGGCCCAGAGAGGCUAAUGAACUUUCCGGAGGUCACAAGGGCCAGGUAGAAAUCGUUCUGGCUUCUCACUGUCCACCGUGUUUUGGUAUAGAGGAGAAAACUCAGGAUGUAGAGCCGAAAGCCCAGGGCUCAAGCCCCAGCUCCACACUUCCCGGCUGUGUGACCUUGGACAACUGGCCUCAUGUCUCUGAACCUCAGUUUCCUUAGCAUUAAACUCAAGUGAUGACAACUGCCCUUCCCUACCUCUCAGGCCUGUUGUGAGACUCAAGUCUGACAGUGUCUUUGAAAAGUGAGAGCCCUGAAGUUUUGUCAAUCAGCAGACUGUGAUCAAUCGCAUCUAUGCCAUUUGUUUCCCCUCUUUCCAAACAACAGAGAACCUGCAGGAUUCAAGAGAUGUGACUGAACAGCAUUCCCACUCAGAAGGCCAAGGAUGAGGCUGACGUGACAGCCCAUAGAAACCUCCGCCUAUGAAAGAACCAGAAAAUCACCAGGAGCUGCCUCAGGCUGCACUAUUUGGAACGCAAUACGUAUUUACCUUUGUUCUGUUCAAUGGUUUGUUGUUUUUUUUUUAAAGUUCUUUUUUUACUAUUUCUUACCUAUUUUCAAUAUCUGAGGCCCCACCCCAGUGCUCUUUGCUCACGACAGUUCUUCUGCCUGGCUUGUUCUCCUCCAACUGCUACCAAAGACUAACUGUGUGACCUUGGGCAAGUUACUUAACUUCUCUGUGCGUCCUCAUCUGCGAAAUGGCGAUCGUGAUAAUACCCACCCCUUACAGGGUUGCUGUGCAGAUCCAGUGGAUUGUCAUCCAGUGGCUCACAGCCACACCUGCUAUACCCCAAGUUGACUUAUUGUUUUUUAAAAUCUCUCCCACUCUCCAGAUGGUGCCCACUCAUCUUUUGAGGGUUGGUGCAGCUGCCCCUUCCUCCAAGGGGUCUGUCCUGCUUUCCUGGACAGGUGAGGCCAUCCUGUUACACCCUCCAGAGCAGGUGACGUGUUCAGGACCCUUCUGCAUUAAACUGUGAACCGUGAGGGGAGAGACGGGGUCACUGUUGCCCAGUGCCCAGCACAGCAGCGGGUACACAGCAGGUGCACUGGGUACACAUUAAGUGACAACCCAGAAUUCAGAGAAGGACCAAAGACUAGGGAGAAGGCUUUAAAGCCUGCCUCUGACAACUGUCUCCAAGAGCAGAAGGACUCAA